rnacentral:rRNA from 1 species
GGGGAAUUUUCCGCAAUGGGCGAAAGCCUGACGGAGCAAGACCGCGUGGGGGAUGAAGGUUUGUGGAUUGUAAACCCCUUUUGAUUGGGAAGAAUACUGACGGUACCAAUCGAAUAAGCCUCGGCUAACUCCGUGCCAGCAGCCGCGGUAAUACGGAGGAGGCAAGCGUUAUCCGGAAUUAUUGGGCGUAAAGCGUCCGUAGGUGGUUUAGUAAGUCUGCUGUUAAAGCGCGGGGCUUAACUCCGUAUCGGCAGUGGAAACUACUAGACUAGAGUGUGGUAGGGGUAGAGGGAAUUCCCAGUGUAGCGGUGAAAUGCGUAGAUAUUGGGAAGAACACCGGUGGCGAAAGCGCUCUACUGGGCCAUAACUGACACUGAUGGACGAAAGCUAGGGGAGCGAAAGGGAUUAGAUACCCCUGUAGU